rnacentral:rRNA from 1 species
GACGAACGCUGGCGGCGUGCUUAACACAUGCAAGUCGAACGGAAAGGCCCUGCUUGCAGGGUACUCGAGUGGCGAACGGGUGAGUAACACGUGGGUGAUCUGCCCUGCACUUCGGGAUAAGCCUGGGAAACUGGGUCUAAUACCGGAUAGGAGCCAUUUUUAGUGUGAUGGUUGGAAAGUUUUUUCGGUGUAGGAUGAGCUCGCGGCCUAUCAGCUUGUUGGUGGGAUAAUGGCCUACCAAGGCGGCGACGGGUAGCCGGCCUGAGAGGGUGGACGGCCACAUUGGGACUGAGAUACGGCCCAGACUCCUACGGGAGGCAGCAGUGGGGAAUAUUGCACAAUGGGCCCAAGCCUCAUGCAGCGACGCCGCGUGGGGGAUGACGGCCUUCGGGUUGUAAACUCCUUUCGCUAGGGACGAAGCUUUUUGUGACGGUACCUAGAUAAGAAGCACCGGCUAACUACGUGCCAGCCGCCGCCGUAA